rnacentral:tRNA from 1 species
GCGCGAUUAGCUCAGCGGUAGAGCACUUCCCCGACACGGAAGGGUCACUGGUUCGAUCCCAGUAUCGCGCA